UACGGGGGGGGCAAGCGUUAUUCGGAAUUACUGGGCGUAAAGGGCGCGUAGGCGGCCUGGUUAGUGGAAAGUGAAAGCCCUCGGCUCAACCGAGGAAUUGCUUCCCAUACUGCCAGGCUAGAGGAUGGGAGAGGAGAGUGGAAUUCCCGGUGUAGCGGUGAAAUGCGUAGAGAUCGGGAGGAACACCAGUGGCGAAGGCGGCUCUCUGGACCAUUACUGACGCUGAGGCGCGAAAGCGUGGGGAGCAAACAGG
rnacentral:rRNA from 1 species